rnacentral:lncRNA from 1 species
UUUUCACCAUUUGGUUUUUUUAAAAAAAUUAGAAAUGGAACAUAUAUAGUUCAAUUAUGGAUGUUAUUUCUACCCACAAUUUAGCUCAGCACAUGGUGGAUUUCUCCAUUGAUUUUGAAUUAUUAGGCUUUAAAUGUUUCAACAGACCCCUGGAGGCCAUUCUGCUGUUACAGCCAUCACAGUGGAGUCCGACAUGGUUUCACCAAGUCACCAAGUGAAUGACUAGAGAUAGGGCUGCUCAUGAAAUCCCAGAUAUUAAGGUUCAGUCCCCAAUGAAAGUUAUAAUAAUAUUUUAAAAGUGUGAAAAACCUAAAAUCAUAUCUGAAAGUGUUCAGAAAUUCUAAAUAAGCUUUUUAAAAAAAGAUUUUAUGGAGGUAGAGGUAGAUCAAUUCAAAGACAUUUGAGAAGAUGUAUUUGUGGUAGAUUAAAACCUAAUUAUGCAUUU